UGGGGCACGUUUCUUGCUUCGGCGGCGGAGGCGGACAUGGUGUCUCCGGGGUGGGAGUAGGCGGUGGAUUGACAAUGGGGGGACUUGGAUGGUAAGGGGGUGGCAAUGGUGGGUUUAUGAUGGGGGGUUUGGGGACAAUGGGAGGUGGCUUUGGCACGUAGGGAGGGUUAACAGGGGGCUUUGGCACGUAGGGUGGGUUAACAGGGGGCUUUGGCACGUAGGGUGGGUUAACAGGGGGCUUUGGCACGUAGGGUGGGUUGACUGGGGGCUUUGGUGGCUUAAUGUGGGGGGGAGGGUGGACGACUGGAGGCUUUGGUGGCUUAGGGUGCGGCGGUGGCUUGACGACAGGGGGCUUUGGUGGUUUAGUGUGCGGCGGUGGCUUGACAAAUGGGGGGUGUUUAGGUGGGAACUUGGGGGGAUGAUGGUGUUUGGGUGGAGUUGGGUAUGGGCAGUAGGGACAAGCAAGUGAAGUGAAGAGAGUUGCUAAGUUCAAGAGAAUUACAAGGUGGUUGACAAAACCAUUCUUCCCCAUUCUCUCAAUGGAUGGAUU
rnacentral:lncRNA from 1 species